AAAGUUCCAUUGUCUUGCUUCUUU
rnacentral:siRNA from 1 species